ACGUAGGGGGCGAGCGUUGUCCGGAUUCACUGGGCGUAAAGGGUGAGUAGGCGGUUAUAUAUGUCAGGGGUAAAAGGCAAUGGCUUAACCAUAGUUAGCACUUGGAACUGGAAGACUUGAGUGCAGGAGAGGAAAGUGGAAUUCCUAGUGUGGCGGUGGAAUGGGUAGAUAUUAGGAGGAACACCAGUGGCGAAGGCGGCUUUCUGGGCUGUAACUGACACUGAGGCACGAAAGCGUGUGGAGCAAACAG
rnacentral:rRNA from 1 species